rnacentral:rRNA from 1 species
UACCAGCACCCCGAGUGGUCGGGACGAUUAUUGGGCCUAAAGCAUCCGUAGCCGGUUUUACAAGUCCUCCGUUAAAUCCAGCUGCUUAACAGAUGGGCUGCGGAGGAUACUAUAAGACUAGGAGGCAGGAGAGGCAAGCGGUACUCAGUGGGUAGGGGUAGAAUCCGUUGAUCCAUUGAAGACCACCAGUGGCGAAGGCGGCUUGCCAGAAUGCGCUCGACGGUGAGGGAUGAAAGCUAGGGGAGCAAACCGG